CAGAGGAGUAUCGCCAUGGAAAGUUAUGGUCAUUUUCAAGAGGGAGUGCUUGGGCAUCCUUUGAGUCCUGACCAAGAGAUGGCAGAGAGACAAUUCAGGAGUGUGUGGGAACUGGCAUAGAGAAGAAUAGGAGUCUACAAGACAGCCUAAGACCACUGGCCGUACCCUGAAGAAAUAGCAUUGGAGAUCACAGUACUCAAACGUCUAUAGAUGCUGCAUAUUUAGUUUGGUGAAAAAAAAUUUCAUCUUUCCCAAUAGAAGGAAGAAAAACUCUUCGACUUUGUGUUCAGAUUAUGUAACCUUUGGCUUCUCCAGGAUACACUCCUAACUCUCCCAGACUUUCUCUACGAUGUCCUAAAACAUCUGCACCCUGGACAUUUACUCCACCCCUAGACUUCACGUUGGAAGUAUCCUCUGGCCCUGGAGCCUCUCCCUGGCUGGUUCUUCCCAGAACCUCCAUUUCAAGGAGCCAAUCCAAACCAUCCAUGUCUUCAUUUCUCUCCAGGCUGUGCUGACUUUCCUGGAUUUUCUCUACAAUGGCCCUAGAACGCUUUGAAACCCAGGAACUUAAACUCCCCCAUUGCUCCAGGGAAGAUCUCACUUUGACCAUAGAGAGAAGGGAAGGGAUGACCUGUUCCUGAGUUUCCCACUCCCCAAACCCAAAUAUAUCCUGGCAGACUGAAACUGAGAUGGCUGAGCUAGCCCUGCUGAUCAAGAUGAGCCUGCCAGCAGAGACUACAAGAGACUGCUCUGAAUCAUCCAGACCCCGAUGCAGAAAACAGGCAGGACUUCUGGGAGAUGACAUCAUGGCCAGAGCCUUCUUGGAGGGGGAAAAUCUCUUGGGAGCAAGAACAGUGAAGGCAGAGUAAAGAUGGUGUGGUCAAGCUAUCUUUGGAUUGGAUGACUAUAUACACAUGAUUAGCAUACAUGCCAGAUGUUUAUCUUAUGAGUAUAUGUUCAAUCCUCUCACAAGUUUGCGUCUGACUUUCCUGACUUCUACAACAUGCCUCAGCUGCAGUCUCAUCCUGAAACUUCCCUCAGCAACCGGGCCUUCUUACCAUGGAACAUCCCUGUCUCAUGCCAGCCCCUUUCUCCCAUCGGUGAGUUCCUCCCAGCUCCAUGUUGGGGAGGAGCCCAGGACAACCAACUUUCAUCCACCUCCCAGCUCUGCUUCUGGUUUUCUGAACCUCAGCACUGUGUUCCCCCCAAAGUUAUCUCCCUUAGCUCCCCCCAUCACCAAGUUCCAGCUUUCUUUUGUGUUGUCUUGAUCCAUUAGACUAUAAGCUCCUUGAGGAAAGGGAUUACCUUUAUUUUGGCUUGUAUUUACAUAGAGAGCACUUAAUAAAUGUUGCUUGUCUUGCUGCCUUUAUACUCAAAAGGGGAGUUUAUGGGAAGCUGAAUGCCACUGAAACAGCAUCAGGAAAUGCCAAUGGGGUCAGGGAAAGGGAAGGCAACAAUGAAAUUAUUUAAAAAAGAAAGAAAAGAAAAAAAACUCUAGCCCCCACCUAUUUAGUAAUGUCUUAGCCACCAUCUUUGUACCACACUCCCCAAGAUGUGGAGAACUCAGGCAUCACCAUGUCAUUCAUUGUGGAUUCCACUCAGUCUCUAACCUUGAUGGCCCCGACCGUAGAAACACCAAGGAGAGU